rnacentral:rRNA from 1 species
CGGGACGGGUGAGUAACGCGUGGAUAACCUGCCUCACACUGGGGGAUAACAGUUAGAAAUGGCUGCUAAUACCGCAUAAGCGCACAGUACCGCAUGGUACGGUGUGAAAAACCCAGGUGGUGUGAGAUGGAUCCGCGUCUGAUUAGCCAGUUGGCGGGUAACGGCCCACCAAAGCGACGAUCAGUAGCCGACCUGAGAGGGUGACCGGCCACAUUGGGACUGAGACACGGCCCAA